GCUCUUAUAUUUUCAAGGCUAUUGUCUAGGGAAAGGCAGGGUGGAAUAGAGGAAAAAUCCUAAGACCAGGGCUCAGGUCUCUUGGGUCCUCAUCCCAGCUCUGUGGUCUAAUUUUGCCAAACUUCUUGACUUCCCUGGGCUUUAAUUUCCUCAUCUGUACAAAGAGAAGACUGGCUGAGAACAGAGGCAAAAUGGUUGUCACGCUUUGGCAAUCAAACAGCCGUACAUGUUUCAGGUGUUAAGGAAGAUAGAUGCUCUAACACAAAAUUCUGUCUUCUCUUACUCUCUUGAAAAACAAACAAGACAAAACAUUCGCAGAGCUGGAGACAGGAAGAAUGAGCUUGGAAGAUCAGGACCACGUGCUGGUUUCACUACCUCUGGUCACCCCAGCUCAUUCUUCUGCUGAAAAGAGGCAGGAGAACAGUGAGAACAGGGUGGUGGUCCCCAAGGGAAGAAUGAUCAAUGGAGACAGUUUCAUGAUGCCAUUCAUGAAAUUCAUCAGAAUUUCAUGAUGCCCCUUGGGGUGACUAUCAGGGUUUUAAGUUAUUCUUGAGAGUUUCUCGAACGCUUUUCUGUCUUUGUUUUCUAAAAGACUUUGAUGAUGGCAGUGGGAGCUCAGAUUCAUGUUGGAGUUACCAUUCUGGUUUGCCAAGGUAGUGGAGGAAUGUGGAAAGACGUCGCUGCACUUUAGUCCUGUACUUCUGACCUGUACUCAAAGGCCUUUCCCUUCCUACCCUGGGGCAUCUCCCCACACAGGAGCUUCAUGCCAGCUUCCCCUCUGCUGGGGUUGCCAACUCAUGACUCCCUGGGGGAGGCCUCCGCACUAGCCUGCCAGCACCUUCUUCUUUCCUUGAAGGCUUGUGACUCAUAGCUGCUGUGUAACGUGUGGCACCCCCAGACAGGAACACAUCUUGCAAAUUGCAUCGGGGGCUGCUUCUCUGGUCUUCCUUCUGGAUACCAGAUUUGGAGGUGCCAAAUGGAAUUGAAUUCUUUAUAGGUUAGAGAGCAUUUAACUAUACCUGGCAGGGCUCUUUAACUCAGACUUUAGAGUUUUUUUUUCAUAUCUAUACACACACACAGAUAUAUUUCAUAAUAGGCAACAUGACUAAUAUUUGCAGUAUUGUUUUGAUUCUAUCAGUGCAACUGGUUCACUCAUUCCUGAGUGUCUAAACAUCAUUAAGAUUCUAAAGGUUUGCUCUGAAGAACAUACUCAGAAUAAGUUCUGGUAUUUUUCUCUGGACAUGUUGUUUUCCAACUACUUAGAGAAAACAACAAAGUGGGAUAAGACUGGAUAGGCAAAUAGGUUUGAUUUUAUUUGCCAGUGCCAGUUGAUGUAUCAUGGCUUCCUCGUGGCUGUGUUGAAAGGGAUCGUGAGACACUGACUUGGCAGGAAGAGGUGCCUUGGCAGGAAGAAGUGCCUAGUGGAUGAGCAAUGCCUGCUCUGGGCAAGGAGGGGACCAAAUAGCAUGUGUGCCACUUUUAGACCCUCCCUGGACAAUAUCUUUCCAGCCACUGCCUGCCUCAUCCUCCUCCUUGAAACCAGAGGGCAAGGCAUGAUGUUCCACCGAUAGGAUUAUUGUCUAUGAUGGAGGAAAAUCCUAUGAAACUAUGAUUAUUUCAGUGAUAAACCAAACUAGAGAGUAAGUUAUUACAUAAUUCUGGGGACUUGCUGCCACAUCAACAUAUCGGUGGAUUCUGUUGAAAAUGAAGUCAUUGUAGCUUGAAAAUGAAGUCAUUGUAGUGGAGACUAAAAUGAUUUAGUUGGGACUUCCUGACAAUGACAAGAAGGGGAGUAGAGAAGGAAGUGGAGAUGCCAUACAAUUUGCUACACGGUUAUAACUGCACACGCAGCAAGUUACAGAUGACUCUUACAGGAUCCUAA
rnacentral:lncRNA from 1 species